AGCUUUGCACAGUGGCAGUAUCAUAGCCAAUGAGGUUUAUCCAAGGCGCAAUUAUUGCUAAUUGAAAAAUCCACCACAAAGACUGAGAAAAUGGCCCAAAAAUUUGAGAACAAUAUACGAGAAACAGUAGAUAAAAUUA
rnacentral:snRNA from 1 species